GCAAAGCCCUCCAGGACCUCACCAGGGCUCCCUGGUGUGCCAGCAACGCCGGUGCCAGGCUAAUUUCUUAAGACAGCGUGUAAAGAAGACCACGCGGGCAAACCAAGCCAGACACUCUUGCGGCAGGUUAGGAUGAAUCCAGACCCGAUUCUGAGCCGUGUGCUACUCGCAGGAGGAUCUCCCAUCUGCAGAACCGCCACGGCUUUCCCGACAAGAGCAACACGACAUCAAGGUUUUUCCACUGUGCCUAAUAAUCGUAACAUCUCACUCGCCA